GGAUUAGAUACCCUGGUAGUCCACGCCGUAAACGAUGGAUACUAGCUGUCAGGUGUUCAGCACUUGGUGGUGUAGCUAACGCGUUAAGUAUCCCGCCUGGGGAGUACGGCCGCAAGGUUAAAACUCAAAGGAAUUGACGGGGACCCGCACAAGCGGUGGAGCAUGUUGUUUAAUUCGAUGCAACGCGAAGAACCUUACCUAGGCUUGAUCCUAUUCGUAUCUUUGGUAAUUCAAAGAGUCAGUUCGGCUGGAAUAGUGACAGGUGCUGCACGGCUGUCGUCAGCUCGUGCUG
rnacentral:rRNA from 1 species